CUGGAAAAACUUUAAUUUUGAAAAGGUUAAAACGAAAAGAUAGCUAUAUCCCCAUAGAUCACUUUAAUAAGAGAGAAUAACUAGUUACAACUUAAAAAAAGUUUAUUUAUAGCGAUCUCCUCGGAGGAAAAAUGGAAACUUUUAUCCAAUUUAUUUAGUUCACAUUUAUUUUAGUAAUCUUGAUUUUCUUCUUAUUAUUAUGUAUGAAAUAGAAGUUUUUAGAGGGAAAUGAGAAAUGGAUGUAGUGUGUAUGGAGC
rnacentral:lncRNA from 1 species